rnacentral:tRNA from 1 species
UGUUCUGUGGCUUAGUUGGUUAAAGCGCCGGUCUAGCGAAUAAUAGUCGUGGGUUCGAAUCCAGCCAGAACGC